UGCUACGACUAUGCCACCCUGAACAAGCCCGAUCCCGUCUGAUCUCAGAAGCUAACCAGGGUCGGACCUGGUUAGUACUUGGAUGGGAGACCACCUAGGAAGAUCAGAUGCUGUAGGCG
rnacentral:rRNA from 1 species